rnacentral:lncRNA from 1 species
AUUAGGGAUGUUAACGAGUCGAACUCAGAAUGGGUUUUCAAAAACUCGAACCCAAACCUGCUAAACCAAAUUUGAAUCCCAAACCCAAAUCCAACAGAUUUAAAUUAAAAUCCAUAUUCAAAUCCGAACCCAAAAAUUCGAACUCAAAACAAUUAUUUCUUUUUACCGUAUUUCAAAACAUAUUAUAUUAAAUCUAAAUUUUUAAAAUAUAAAUUCAAAUAUAAUUAGGAUUUGGGUCAAGUUCGGGUUCAAGUUGGGUACAGACUAAAUUCAUAUCCGAAUUCAACAUCAGUUGGGUUUUCUUUUUUUAUACCCGUAUCCAAAACUAUAUCUAUUUAGCCAGUGACGAAGUUAGGACUUGAUUACGAGAGGGCCAAAAUACAUAUAAAUUAAAAUUUUAGCAAGUAAAUAAAAUAUACCUAAUUAAAAUUUUGAUGAGAAAAUAUAUAACCUAAAUUGUUAGUGUAAAAAAAACAUUACCUUUUUUUUUAUUUAGACUUACUUAACUUUUAAUUAUUUUAUUUAUAUUAUUUCACUCAAAUAAUUUUAAAAUUUACUAAAUCUAAAAGUAAUUCAGUUAAUAAUUUAAUUUCUUAAUUUUUACUAAAUACAAUUGUGAUAAUUGAUUAUUAUUAGUUGACUAAGCUAUUAACUUUAAUAUAAUUUUUUUAAUUAAAUAAAAAUUUAUCUAAAAUAAUUAGAAAUUAUGAAAGUAUGUACUAAACAACAAAAAUUAAAAUAAAUUUAGAGUUGAGAAAGUAUUAUGUUCAUGCCGGAACUUUUUUAAAAGAUAGGUCGGUCAAAUAUACUUUAGAGAUUAAAGUAAAAUAAAUCCUUGAAAUUUUUUAUAUGAAAAGGAUAUAUGUGCAAAUUUUGAAAAUCUUGGUGGGGGAGGGCAUGGCCCCCUCAGCCCACAUAUAGCUCCGCCCCUAGCAUCAAUAUAUUCGCUCUGUUCGGUUACGUAUUCAGAUAAAAUUUCAGAUAUCCACACACGACGACGCGUACGAUCACCGGGAGGUGACGGAUUCGGGCUCUUCUCACUAUUUAUACCUAACAACCUGAUAAGCUAGGUGGAGUGUGUCACCACAACUCACAAGAGAAGUGCUAUUUUUGAGUUACUGAGAAAGGAGAGUCACAUCUUAUUAAUAUCAUCAUAUAAUUUUGGUUCUUCAUUUUCACAUAUAUUAGAGCAUGGAUCCUUACCAGGUUUGGCCUUUUACCAUUAUUAUUUUUUAAUUUUUUUUUUCAUUUUAUGUAGAAUAUAUUAUAUAUAUAUAUAUAUAUAUAUAUAUAUAUAUAUAUAUAUAUAUAUAUAUAUAUAUAUAUAUAUAUAUAUAUAUGUGUGUGUGUAGUUUAAUUAAGGAUCUUUCUUGAGUUUAAUGUUGAAGUUAUGGGGCACUAAAAAUAAGUAUAUAUUUAGUUCAUCAGUGUUUUUCAGUUUGCAGCGAUGCGAUCGUGUUCGUAGCUAUCGUUUUAAACGAACUAGAUUUGAUUUUUACAAAAGCAACUGUUUUGUAAAUGAAAUGAAAUAGUAUGAAGAUUAAACCAUGCACGCGCCGCGGAUUUAUUUAUUUUUUAAUUAGCUAAAUGAUUGAUCAACAAACUAAUUUAUUUAAUUAAGAUGUGCAUCUCUUUUGUAUUUGAAAUACUUUGUUAUUUUAGAGCGUCACACUACGUAAGUUCUCUGAAUCAAUGUUCUGCUCUGAUCGAUUUGAUCUAAAAUGUUUAGAAUAUUCAGAAAGUAAAUUAUGUAAUUUCUUAGAAUUAUUUAUUUAGUGAUGAAAAGGAUUCAAAAUUAAUUAUUAAUAUAUCGUUAAACUUGUAAUCAAUUACAUAGGCUGUUAAAAUUAUUAUUUUUGAAUCUUUUCGAUCAUUAGUUAAAUAAUAUAAAAAAAAACUAUAAAAUUUAUUUUUAUAAAUAUUUUAAAUAAUCUAAACCAUAUCUAGUGAAACUUAUCUUCAACUCAAAAUUUUCAUAAUUAAAAAUAAUUUAAAAGUACUUAAAGCAUCGUACUCUUUAAAGCACUUCAAUUAAACUAUAUAUAUAAAUACGAAUAAUUGCAUAUGUACUCCUCAAAAUUUCAAAAAUAUCUUAUUUAUUCUUACUUUUUUUUUUUCUUUUCAAUAUAUCCCUUAUAUAUUCCUCCGUUAUUCUAAAACACCGCUACAGUUACCACCAGUUAAAUUAACUUAGUUUAAACGUGAGUUAAAUAUAUGUUAAAAUUAAAAAAAAUAAAAUAUCUCUUUUGUCCUUAAUUUAAAAACAAAUAAGAAAUAUUGGUGAUGAUAGAGGGUAUAUUUGAAAAGACCAAAAGUCAAAAUACUUUUUGUAUCCCUAACUUAGGAGCAAAUAAAAAAAGUCGAUGAUGGUAGAAGGGUAUAUUUAAAAGGACAAAAUAGUAAUUUUAUACCGAUAACAGUUAUUAUUAAUAGUUUAUUAAUAUAAUUUAACUCUAAAAAUAAAUUUAAAUGUAAAAACUGUAUUUUCAAUAUUAAACUUCUAAGAUAUGUAAAUUAGAAAAUCGAAAAUUUUUCCUAAACUAUAUAUAUAUAUAUAUAUAUAUAUAUAUAUAUAUAUAUAGAGUCCGGCUAUGGUGAUUGUAAAAGUACCAAGUAUUUGGUGCUUGUAAAUUUUUUACCGUUAGAUCUAUGCCUUUGAUCAUUUUCAUCCGUUAGAUUAUACUAUUCAACCAACCACCCACUCAACCCUAGGGGGCCCACAUCAUCUUAACCGCACAUCCCUUAAUCNCCUCUUAUAUUAUACUGUUAUAAUUUUUGGAGGAACAUAUUUGCUGUGGUAAAAUUGAAAAUAUAAACAGUUUUCUAACGGUUCUCUAACGAUAAUAAAUCAGAAGGAUAAAUCUGAAAAUAUUAGAAGUUUUGUAAUAAUAAUUUAUAAAAGUUAAAUUUUAUAAGAAUAUAUUUAUAAUUUACUAUAUUUUCAGAGACCUAUAUAUAAUUAACCCUAUAUUUUUAAUAAGUAUGUAUAAAAAAAUCCCAAUUUAUAUAUUAAUUUAAGAGGGUGGGAUAUUAUUGUCACCGUCCUGCAAUAAUGCACAUAAGAAUUAGGGAUGUUAACGAGUCGAACUCAGAAUGGGUUUUCAAAAACUCGAACCCAAACCUGCUAAACCAAAUUUGAAUCCCAAACCCAAAUCCAACAGAUUUAAAUUAAAAUCCAUAUUCAAAUCCGAACCCAAAAAUUCGAACUCAAAACAAUUAUUUCUUUUUACCGUAUUUCAAAACAUAUUAUAUUAAAUCUAAAUUUUUAAAAUAUAAAUUCAAAUAUAAUUAGGAUUUGGGUCAAGUUCGGGUUCAAGUUGGGUACAGACUAAAUUCAUAUCCGAAUUCAACAUCAGUUGGGUUUUCUUUUUUUAUACCCGUAUCCAAAACUAUAUCUAUUUAG